GAGCCCCAGAAAGGCAAGCAGUGUAGAUCAAACUCUAAUCUCUGAGAUUAGAAAAUCUGUGAUCAGGAACCAAUGGAAGCGCAGACAAAAGACACGUCCUAGAUUUUUCUCUCGGACCUCACCCUCAAAACAGAGAAACGGCCACGCGGUUGGUGGAGACGGGCGCCACACGGUGUCACAGUCACCCCAAUAUACACCCUGCUCUGGCAAAAAGACAGCCCAUACAAGAGGAAUCUAGAAUACACCCUUGAUUUGAC
rnacentral:lncRNA from 1 species